rnacentral:rRNA from 1 species
AACAGUGGUUCUUUAUGUUGAUCUGUGAUCUGCUCAGAUCUCACAAGCUAAGCAGACUUUGGUUAGAUCAGUGCUGGGAUGGGCAACUAGCCAAGAAAUUCUAGGUGGCUGAUC